UCCUUUGUGACGACAGAACCAAAAUAUGUAGUGAAUUGGUCUGCCAUCUCUUUAUUCCACAUUUAUAACUACCCCUGUUUCUGAUUGUAAGGGAUUUGUUUUCAUUAAUCUGUUUUGCUCUUCAUUAUAUCUUUAGGAACUUGUAUAAUUUGUGUGUAUAUACCCCAGAAACUUACUCUUACUCUUUAUUUUUCCCCUCUUAACCAAUCCCUUCGUCCUGUUUUGGUGAAAUAUGAACUGCUCCCAGUCUUCAGAUCUGCUGUCCAUUUUAGCCAAUUUGUACCCCUCUUCCUUGGAUCCAGUACGACCCCUAAUGUCCCUGGUUAGCCAUGGCAGGGCCACCUUUCCUGUUUCAUUUUGUGUCUGACAGGAAAGAACAACAGUUGUAGUUCCUCCAAGUGCUCUUUAAAUGUUUGUUAUUCCUUUAAAGUUAUAUUCCCUAAUUUAUUGUAGCAUGAUCACUUCUCAUACCAUCGUAAUUUCCUCUGUUUAGAUUUUGGCCCCCAGUCUCAGAAUCAACUCUGUCGCAUUCCAUCUUAAUGAGGCGUUUUAUCACUGAGUUCUUCUUUCUCCCACAAGCGGCCUCGCACGGCUAGAUUGCUAAUGAUUCCCUUCACAUUACACAGUUAAUAUUUUGAAAUUAAAGUUGCCACAGUCUCAGAAGACCUUAGGACUGCUCUGUCACUUGGGGACCGAGAGAGAGAAGGCUAAUGUGCCUUAACGUGAGGGUCAACAUGUCUCAGGCGGGCAAGGUUAAGAAUGUGGGAUCUUCAUGGUGACCUCAGGCAGGAUAUGAAUUGAGUACAUGCUGUGGGCAUCACUCUGAAUCGCAAAUCAGCCAUCCAGUUAACUGAGCUAACCCACUCCCAGCCAUUCGACAAUAAGCAGUCGAGAUGGCCUAUCUCCAUUUGGGCCCUCAAUGUAUUGAUCCGAGAAUGUGUAUGAGAUGGUUUUUUGGAAUUUCUCCUCUAUGGUAUCGUUACUGAGUUGACUUGCUCAAUCUAUGUGCAGAUUGAAGUCACCCACAAUAACCAAGAUACAGGAGCAGAAUUAGGUCAUUCGGCCCAUAGUUUCUGUUCCACCACUUGAUCAUGGCUGACAUGUUUCUCAGCUCCAUUCUCUUGCCUUCUGCUUUCUCCCGUACCCUUGAUGCCCUCACAAAUGAAGAACCUAUCUAUCUCUGUCAUAAAGACACUCCACAGCCCUCUACGGCAGUGAGCUUUACAAAAUCACCAGUCUCUGGCUGAAGAAACCCCUCCUCAUCUCAGUUCUAAAGGGUUGUCCCUGUACUGUGAGAUGGUCCCCUUGGGUUCUAGUCUCUCCGACUAGUUGUAACAUUUUCUCCACGUCCAUCUGUCUAGGCCUCUCAGUAUUCUGAAAGUUUCAAUCACAUAGUCAUAGUCAUACAGCAUGGAAACUAGUCCAUGCCGACCAUGUGCUGAAACUAAACUAGUCCCACCUGCCUGUACUUAGCCCAUAUCCCUCUAAACAUAUCUUAUUCGUGUACUUAUCCAAAUGUCUUUUAAAAAUUGUAAUUGUAUUCGCAUCCACACAGGAGCCACUCUCUGUGUAACAAAAAAAAGUUGCCCUUCAUGUCUUUGUUUUUCUCGUCUCGCCUUAAAAAAAAAUGCCCUCUAGUUUUGAAAUCUCCCACCCUGUGGAAAAGAUACCUGUAUUUACCUUAUCUCUACCCCUUGAGGGCAGGACUUGUACAGUUAACGAUAGGGCCCUGGGUAGUGUUAUACCUGAGUAUCUUUGUACUUAAGAUGGUGCUGUAAGUGGCAACUUGUAAACUUUUCACUAUACUUGUAUGUAUGACAAUAAAGGUAAUUCAAUUUGAUUUUAAAAAAUGCCCCCUCGUCUUGAAAUCCCCACCGAAGGGAAAGGACACCUGCCAUUUGACACCCCUCAGGAUUUUUAUAAACCUCCAAGUUCAACCUCAACCUCUUGCGCCCUGAGAAAGAAGUCCGAGCCGAUUCAGCCUCUCCGCAUAACUCAAUUUCUCUUUUCCCAGCAACAUCCUGGUAAAUCUCUUCUGAACCCUCUCCAGCUUACUAAUAUCCUUCCUUUAGCAGGGUGACCAGAACUGGACACAGUACUCUCGAUGAAGCCUCACCACCAUCUUGUACAACUUCAACAAGAUGCCCCAACUCCUGUACUGAAAGGCGAUCAGAAGUGGACACAUUACCCCAGAAGGCGCCUCACUGACGUUCUGUACAAGCUCAACAUAACAUCCCAACUCCUCUCAAACGUCUGAGCAAUGAAGGGUGACCAAAACUGUACACAAUACUCCAAGUGCAGCCUCACCCACGACUUAUACAACUGUAAGACAACGUCCCAACUGAUGUGCUCAAUGCCUUGACCAAUGAAGGCCAGCAUGCUAAAUGCCUUCUUCACCACCUUGUCAACCUGUGACGCCGCUUUCAAUGAACAAUGUACUCGUACUCCUGGGUCCCUCUCUUCCACAACACUCCUCAGGACCUUACCAUGAACUGCAUAAGUCCUAUCUUGAUUUGAUGUUCCAGAGUGCAACACCUCAUACCUAUCUGUAUUGAAUUGCAUUUGCCAAUCCUCAAACCACUUCCCCAUCUGAUCUAGAUCCCUCUGUAAUUUUU